UCAAAGUAAAUCUACCAGCUGUUGAGACUUCAAGACUGACAAAAGAGUUUGGGAACACGGUGCUAAUUGAAAACCUUUCAGAGGAACUCAGUCGCACUCUAUAGUCUGCAAAGCU
rnacentral:lncRNA from 1 species